AUGAAUGGAUACUCUGAGAUAGAACGAGAAAAAGCAAAUUUGAUUAAUGCUACUUCUAUUAGUUUGGCAAUGAAUCAGGUCCGACAGCGGGUUUUCCAACAGGCCGUACAAGGAGCUCUAGGAACUCUGAAUAGUUGUUUGAAUACCGAGUUACAUUUCCGUACGAUUCGUGCUAAUAUUGGCAUUCUCGGGUCCCUGGAAUGGAAGAGAUAAUUAAAUUAAUUAGGCCUUGAACUUCUACUUUCGUUUAGAAUUUAGGCAUUAUUUUUCCCCUUGCUUCCGAAAAAAGAGUCA
rnacentral:rRNA from 1 species